CUUACGGGAGGCAGCACUGGGGAAUAUUGCGCAAUGGGCGAAAGCCUGAUGCCCCCACGCCGCGUGAGGGAUGACGGCCUUUCGGUUGUAAACCUCUUUCACCUGGGACGAAACGCAUGUGACGGUACCUGCAGAAAAAGCCCCGGCUAACUACGUGCCACCAGCCGCGGUAAUACGUAGGGUGCGAGCGUUGUCCGGAAUUAUUGGGCGUAAAUAGCUCUUAAGCGGUUUGUCGCGUCGGCCGUGAACACUUGGGGCUUAACUCCAAGCUUGUGGUCGAUUCGGGCAGACUUGAGUUCAGCAGGGGAGACUGGAAUUCCUGGUGUAGCGGUGAAAUGCGCAGAUAUCCGGAGGAACACCGGUGGAGAACGCGGGUCUCUGGGCCGACUCUGACGCUGAUGAGCGAAAGCGUGGGGAGCGAACAGGAUUAGAUACCCUGGUAGUCCACGCCGUAAACGGUGGGUGCUAGGUGUGGGGGGCUUCCACGCCCUCUGUGCCGCGUCUAACGCAUUAAGUAACCCGCCUGGGGAGUACCGUGUUAAGGCUAAAACUCAAGGAAUAGUUCUGGGCCCUCACAUUGUCUGAACAUGUU
rnacentral:rRNA from 1 species